GUAUAUCUUUCCACUGACCGAAGGGAAAAAGAAAGUUCAAUAGAAUAAUUAUUUUUAGAUUCUUUUAUCUGUUAGAAAAAGAGAUAAUCUGCUAUUUUCCCUUAGGUAGGGAACGACAUCUAGAAAAGGCUACAGGAUAAGGAGAAAAAGGAGGAAUCCACCCGAGGAGGGGCUCACGUCUUAUUAGCUAGUUGGUGAGGCAAUAUUUUACGAAGAUGGUGAUCAGUAGCUAGUCCGAGAGCUGAUCAACCAUAUUGGGACUGAGACACGACCCAUACUCCUACGGUAGUUAGCAAUAGGGAAUUUCUGCAGUAGGUAAAAGCCUAACAAAGCUAUGCCACAUGGAGGUAGAAGGCCCACGGGUCAUAACUUCUUUUCCUCCAGAAGAAUCAAUGAUGGUAUCUAGGGAAUAAGCAUCGCUAUCUUUGUGCCAGCAGCCGCGGUAAUACAGAGGAUGCAAGCAUUAUCCAGAAUUAUUGGGAGUAAUGCGUAUGUAGGUGGCUUUUUAUGUCCGCCGUCAAAUUUCAGGGCUCAACCCUAGACAGGCGGUGGAAAUGAGCAAGCUGGAGUACAGUAAGGGAAUAGGGAAUUUCCGGGGGAGAGCUUGAUCAGUGAGCUAUUAUACACUCUUUUAAGGGUGGCUACUUCUAGGCAAAUGUAAGGCUCCGUAAAAUGUUACCUAGAAUACGGGGUUUC
rfam:Nicotiana attenuata strain TT chromosome 3, whole genome shotgun sequence.